AUAGAUCAUAAAUGCUGGAAUGCUUUAUGAUUGAAAGGUUUCGACCGCCUUAGGAUGGAUCUGCGGCCUAUCAGGUUGUAGUGGGUGUAAUGUACCUACUAGCCUACGACGGGUACGGGUUGUGGAAGCAAGAGCCCGGAGAUGGAUUCUGAGACAUGAAUCCAGGCCCUACGGGGCGCAGCAGGCGCGAAAACUUUACAAUGCGGGAAACCGUGAUAAGGGAACACUGAGUGCUAGCAUUUAUGUUAGCUGUCCACAUGUGUAAAUAGCAUGUGAUAGCAAGGGCUGGGCAAGACCGGUGCCAGCCGCCGCGG
rnacentral:rRNA from 1 species